UACGGGGGGGGCAAGCGUUGUUCGGAAUUACUGGGCGUAAAGGGCUCGUAGGCGGCCAACUAAGUCAGACGUGAAAUCCCUCGGCUUAACCGGGGAACUGCAUCUGAUACUGGAUGGCUUGAAUCCGGGAGAGGGAUGCAGAAUUCCAGGUGUAGCGGUGAAAUGCGUAGAUAUCUGGAGGAAUACCGGUGGCGAAGGCGGCAUCCUGGACCGGCAUUGACGCUGAGGAGCGAAAGCUAGGGGAGCAAACGGG
rnacentral:rRNA from 1 species